GUUGUUGCAUUUGAUUUGGAAUUCAUACUGACUCCAUUCAGGAUUCCCAAUCAAAUUCCGAAUGGUUUAACCGGGUAGGCUCGCUGACGAACUAGCAAGUCGACAUAAAUUGACUUUUACAACAUUGCUUUACAGCUAAAUGGCAGUGUUGGUAAACACGGCUCACAGUAAAAUUCAAAUUUAUGUCGACUUUGUCAGCAUGCACAGCCUAAUUGGAAUGAGACUGGCAAAUAAAUAAUAAGAAAAAUAUAGAUAUGACGAGUUUGCAUCCAGAGGAAUUCAGCGCUAGAUUCAGCGUGCUUAAUUCGCACGUAAAUAAGAAAGAUAUCGGUUCUCCGGUUUUUUUAGCAUAUCUUCCUUCGAACGUUUCGACACAGAUACUUCAAACAAACAAACAUUAAUGAUCUUAAAUGCUUAUUUGCAGGCUAAACAAAAUUGGGAAAAAUCCCAAUAUUAUGGCUCACAAAGAAGAAUCCGAGUCAGCCAAUGCAGAAACUAAUCAAAUCAGUGCUGUGGUAAACGCGUUGGCCGUUGAAGCUGAAAAUAAUUUAAAUAACCUUAGUGAUGGAAGCGGAAGUUUGAACAAAAUUCACUCUGAUUUAAGUUUGGCGGAGUUAAAUCAAAAUUUACGCAUGAGCUUACCUCGGCCAAAAAGUGGAGAUUUUAGAGCUCUUUUCGAAGGUAGUCCUUAGGAAAUCAACCACUCUCUCUGGAAUUGACAAAUACUCUUCUAUAAGGUACAAGUGAGAUAUUACAAAUAAAACUUAAUUUACAUAAACUAA